CCUUGCCCCACCCACUCCUAGUCCCAGACCCCUUAAGAAACAGUAAUGGGCUUUCCUCUCAAAUGCUACUUUAUACCCGGGUCUGUUUCCUCUCUCCUAGUUUUGCCUAGGUCCUUGUUUGUCGCACCUGCCAAAAUCUUAAAGGAUCGUGCUAUAUAACAGUGGCGGGCUGACCCCUACUCACUGCUAGCUUGAAGGGGCAAAUCACCCCAUCACAAGCCCUUUUUCAAAUUUCCUGUUUGUUUCAUCCAGCAAACACAUUCAAUAGUGAAUGUCUUCUGAAGCUUUAGCAAUUGUAAUCUUUGACUCCUGCAUUUUGAAUUUGAAUUUGAUAUAAGGAUUGUACAACAUUUCUGUAAAUUAGAGCUGUGACUGCAUCUUAUGUUUGGGUAAUUCUAUCACUGGUCAAGCUUUUCAUGCCAAUGAUUUUUCCCUGCAAUGUGGCUUUUUGGCUAAAUGGAAAUAUUGACCAAAAUUUUUCCUUUUGUCGAGUUUUCAGGUUUUGUUGAAAACAGCAAAACUGAAACUUUUUCAGUCUUUGGCAACCAAUAACCAAACUUUUAGGUUUGGGGAUAGUUGUUUUUUCAGUGAAAACUUGAAAUAUUUUGAAGGAAUUUUUAAUUGAAUUGUAAUUGAAAAUUUGUCAAUUACUCCAGUUAAUACUUUGUGUUUGGUGACUAAAGUGGCAUUAUAAGAGAACCCAUGUUCAAGGUUUAGAGCUUCUCAUUUUCAUUCAUUUGGGCCAGAUCCAACUCCCAGUGAAAUCAGUGUGAGUCUUUUCAUUGACUUGAAUGAGAAUUAGACAAAACUCUUUAUGCCCUAUCACAUUGGAAGAGUUUUCUAAUGUUUUAGAAUGUUUGUACUCAUAUUGAUCUCUUUGUAUUUAGGGUUGGGUUUUUUUUUUUUUGAAGAGGGGUGCCUAAUGAAUUGCACAGGCCUCUUUUGAUGAGGUCCUUUGGAGAAGAGGUUAAGAGGGCUACAAAAGCAAAGAGGUUAGAAGGUGAAUUUGAAGGAUGGGGAAACACAAAUUUCCUCUCACAGUUCUUCCAGUACAUCUAACUGGUGACUCGCAACACCUGCAAAUCGCAGUCCUACAUCUCAUCCAGACAGAUAAUCCAGAAUUAUGUCAAAUGUUAUAAUAAACUGUUUUUGGUUUUUUGCAGUUGAUUGAUAGCCUCUAUGAAUUAAGGCACUGACGCAGUUCACAUCACCCUUAACAAUAAGUGGAUGAGAAUCUAGCACCCAUAAACUGAAAGGUUUAUGCAUAGAAGCUGAGAUUUCAACAAAGUUUAAGAGAGUAAGGCACCUAGAGAUUAUGGAAAUUCAAUGGGAGCUGGGUGCCUCAUUCCCUUAGUCUCUUUUUAAAAUCCUAGGCUAAACCACUAUGACUUUCAGGCCUCAACAGCAUUAUUAAAUACAUAUGAACUAAAAAGGGAAAAUAACUCAUCUGCAACCAAUGAACCAGACCCCUCCUCUUUCUUAUUGUUGCCUACCUUUCCGUGCUUAGCAGAAGCCUUCUCUCCUACCAAGAUAUCAAGUUCCUCUUCCCUUCUUAUAGAAUUGCCUCCAAUUCUAGUUUACUCCAAGUUCUUGCCUCCUAUUUGUGACCUCCUGAGCCUAUUUAUUUUCUUGGCUGCCUGUAAUGGCUCCGAAACAGCCCUGAAAUCUUUUGAGUGCUUCCCCUGCUAUAGUUGACAGGAGCGAAGUCUUCUGGAGUGCAAUAGCUAUGCAGCAGGCAGGCAGUAGAUAAAAAAAAUAACGCGUUCAGGAGCUCUGGGAACAUUAGUGGUGCUGCACAUAAGGAGACAAUGGAAAAUAAAUACAGCUCAGUGAAGGAAAAGAUAUUUACUUCAGCUCUUCUAAGCUUUGCAUUCAGGCAGAAACUCAAGUGGAGCUGGGGUAAGGGUGGAAUCCCGAUCAGCAAAUGGUGCCCCUAGAGCCGCGUAUGCUACAGAGCUGAGUCUGAGUAUGAUUUGGCUCCUACAUUUAAGUACCUUAGUCCAAUAAAACAUUUUUAUUACAAUAUGCAAAGCCAAGUUGCCAACCAUCUCUAAAUUUACUGAAGGCUAUUAAUUUCUUUCUUAAAUACAAUGCAUCCCUCCCCAAAAAACUCACUCAACAUAAAUUUUAAGUUUAGAGAGAGAUGUAGUUACAGAAGAACAUUUAAAAAUAAUGCCCACUAUUAUUCCCUAUUUUGGCACCAUUUCAUACAGCAUUUCAACGUAUGUAUUUUAAAAAUGUUUAAAUAAAGCUACAGUAUUGGUUUAGAAAUCCUUUUGUUUUAGCCAGAUGACUUUUCCUAAAGAUUAUUAAAAGUCAGUGUUAGGAAAAAAUUGGACCACAUCAGUAAAAUUUUUGCCUGGUUUUAGUAAGUUAAUAAAGGAGGGUUGUUUAUUCUGCUAUAAAGUGCCAGGUUAUGAAAGUCAGUAGAUUUCUUACAUUCAAGGAUGUCAAAAUACUACUCCAAAGGGGACUGGACUCAAUGACCCAGGAGUUCACUUCCAGUUCCAUAUCUUAUGGUCCUAAUGGUGACCAUAGAAUGGUAGAAGCUUUAGAAAAGUUCAAUCAAAAUCCCAAGUCCCAAGAAGUUGAAACCAAACAGCCAUGUUUAAAAAGAAACAACCAAGCUAGCUUUUGCAUGGCUUUCUUGAAAUUCAGUUACUAUCAAUAUAAUUGAAACCAGAGAUUCUACAUAAUAAGUUAUCAAUUGCCUUGCAAAUAACUCCUAAUAGAGCUGUCGAUAUUCUGCAAAGUAGGUACCAUCAUAAUAAACAGUCACAGAUUUCAAGGCCAGAAGGGACUACCAGAUCAUCUAGUCUUCCCUCCUGUAUAUCAUGGGUCACCAACACUGCACAGUGCCUGCACACUAAACCCAGCAACCAAAAUUAGAACAAAGUGUUAUAGGCCACAAGAGACUAGACUAUUAUGUGCCACAGACAGAGAAUAGGAGGCUCCAAGGUGCACCAGUGCUUGAGGGCUCUUCCAUGGCAGGGAAAUGAUUAAGUGAGAUAUACCCAGAUAAUCCUAGCAAGUGACUUCCACCCACAUGUUGGAGAGAAAGGUGAAAAAAAAACCCAAUCUGACCUCUGGGAAAAUCCCUUCGCAACCACACAUACGAUGAUCAAUUAAACUCUGAACAUGUAAGCAACAACCAGCCAGUCAUGCACCUGAGAGAGACAGAAUUCUUCAUGCAACCUCAGAGCCCUUGACCUCCUCCUAUUUCCCAUCUCCAGCUGUGGCCAUCCCUGAUGCUUCAGAGGAAGAAGAUAAAUAACAUACUAAUAACAAAGAGAACUCUGCAUUGCUAUUGAGCCAUGUCAGAAUUUCAGCUCUGACUAUUAUCUGAAACCAUUCUAUAUGUUUCUGCUUGUCCCUAUGUUUAUUUCCAUUAUGUGGCGGCUAAUUGCUCCAGAACAUGAGAACAGCCAUAUUGGGUCAGACCACUGGUCCAUCUAGCCCAGUAUCCUGUCUUCCGACAGUGGACAAUGCCAGGUGCUUCAGAGGGAAUGAACAGAAAAGGCAAUCAUCAAGUGAUCCAGCCCUUCUUGUCCAGUCCCAGCUUCUGCAAUCCAGGAAAAUCCAGGAGCCAGGAAGGAAAAGUGUCUCCCCUCCAUCAGUCAUUUAUACCAACCACUGCAAGAAUUGCUUGGUGUAUUAAUGGUGUUUUCCACAGAGCCAGUCAAAAAUUGUUUGACUGAAAAAAAUCAGGCAAAAAUGUGUUUUCAAUGACAACAGAAUUUUUUGUGAAAAAAUUUCACUUCUGUGGAAUUUUUGAUUUUUUUGCUGAAAUUUCAAAACAAAAACAUUUCAGAUGUUUUUAAAUCUUGUGUUUUGAAAUUGUGAAAAAAAAAUCCCCCUCUCUCACACCUUUUAAAACCAUUUCCAGAUGGAAAGCUAGGGAAAAGUUGACAAAAAAAGAGAGAGAGAGAGAGAGAGAGAGAGCAAGGAAGUGGAAAUGGUGGGGGGAUUAAAAUAAAAAAAAGAGUAGUAAUUUUCCCACCAACACAAAAUGAAAUUGAACAAAACAAAUAAUCUUUAGUUUACAAUAAAUGAAAAUUAGCAAAACCUAGUUAUCUUUUAAAGACCCACUCUGGUUUUCAGUUUGUUUGAAAACAUCAAGUAUGAGCCAUCACCCGAUAUAAUAGUAUAAUGGUCCUAUUUGAUGUGGCAAAUCCUACGUCCCCAGAUAAGCAGGCACAGACUGUCUCUUACCCACCACCAGAGCCACAAACAUUGACUCAGAGGACCACUGAGCUAGUCUUACUGGCUUUGCAAAGCUUUAAUCUACUUAUGUGGAUUGCCACAUUCCUUUUUUACAAUCCUAAUCCAAUGCAUGGUAACAGCUGCAUGUGUAGCUAGAGCUGGUUCUUUCAUGGAGGCAAAACAAGUGAUCACCUAUGACAUUACAAUAUUAGGAGCAAUUAAGCAGUUUAGUAACUGUUAGUAGUAUAAGGGCCCUACCAUCAACAAAACCCUAAUCCUGCCCCUUGACCCCUUAAACCCUGCCCCUUGAUGCCUUAAACCCUGCCCUCCUGUCACUGGAAGUCCCGCCCCAUGGGGAUAUUACUUCCGGGGUCAAGGCGGCCACACGGUGUGUGUGGAAGCAAGGUGUGUCAUGUGACCCCUCUAACAACUCCUCCCGCUCCCCUCUACCAAUCAGUAUGGGCUCCCUCCCGACAGGACCGUCCCGAGAGGAGAUUUGACUAAUCAGGGCGAGUUCCAGGGCGGAGUGACCUGUCCGGAAGUGGGUUGUAUGACCCCUCUAAGAACUCUUCCCACCACCCUCUACCAAUCAGGAGGGGUUUCAGCCACUGGGGACCAUCCUGAGAGGAGAUUUGACCAAUCAGGGUGAGUUCUGGGGCGGGGUGACAUGACCGGAUGCAAGGUGUGUCCUGUGACCCCUCUAAGAACUCCUCCCACUGCUCUCUACCAAUCAGGAAGGGUUUUGCCCCCGUAGGACCACCCCGAGAGGAGAUUUGACCAAUCGGGGAGUUCCACUGCAGGGUGACCUGUCCGGAAGUGAUUCGUGUGACCCCUCUAAGAACUCCUCCCACUUCCCUCUACCAAUUAGGAGGGGUUUCAGCCUCAUAGGACCACUCAGAGAGCAGAUUUGACCAAAAUAGGGCAGGUUCUGGGACGGGGUGAACCACCCAGAAGAGGGUCGUGUGACCCCUUUGCCAAUCAGAGCACAGCACCAUCACUCCAUAAGUCCCAGCACUGGGCAGAAGAGGCCAUCUUUUACCACGAACGCGUAUUUUAGAAAUCAUGGAAACAUGGACUCCUUCACCACCCCCGUGAGAACUUCGGACUUUGUUUGAGCCCCGAGGGUCUUUGACAAUCCACAGAGAAAGUGGUACGCCAGUGACAGUUCCGAGGAGGAGGAGGGAGCGACUGAGGGGAGCCAUUUGGCCCAGCCGUUGAUGGAUACGCCGGAACCCGAACCCGAAACCCAGCUGCUUGUGAGACACCCCAAUGAGCAUGGUGGCCUCUUGUUGUACACCCCCCUGGAGGAGAAAGGUGAACGCAGCUCGGGGGAGUCACCAGUUGACAAGGUGAACGGAAAAGACAUCCCUCAGCGCAACGAUGCCAUUCUAGAGGACCUGGAGGCCCUGGACAGCGUUGCAUCAAGCAGCGAAGAUGAACCGGGCCCACCUUGUUUUUGCUCAACACCGAUACAAAUUGUUGAAGAGGACUCCGAGGAUGACGACUAUGAGGAGUUUACGAGGAGGCUUGGCAUGGAACUAACUGAGCCAGUGCCACGUCGUGAGCGUAAAAAAGUUAUGCGGACUAUUGUACCUGUUGCUGUUUAUGCUGUCCUUAACCACUGGUUUAGGGAAAAGCUUUUUGAAAAUUGUGAGGGCUGUGUCAUAGAUGUGCCAGCCUGCCCCAUGACUGUGUGACUUGGACUUCAGUGGAUAUAAACUGCAAGCUCUGGGGCCUGUGUGCUGAGCUGUGUUUGGAAAGCUUAUUAAACACUAUUAUUGCCAUAGGUUAUGCUAUGCAAUGUCUGUGCCUAACCCAAGAACAUUUAGCGCAAGGGGUGACCUUGAUAAAUGCUGUGCAAUUCAAUGGAGACCCUGACCGUGUUUUAAAGAAAAUGACCAAACCGGAAGGAGCCUGCUUAGAGCGAUAUAUUGACCGUCUGGUCUGCACAAAAAGUUACAGAACCCUGUUUAAGAAAAAGGCUAUUUGUAAGAAAUCUAAAAGGAUUAAGUUAGAAAAUGGUGAGGGGGCCAAACAUGCGAUAUAAUACUUGGUAGCUGUAAAUUUAAAAAGAAAUCUAUUGAAAAGGGCUUUGUGAUUAUCUGUAUUUCUGUUAGAAGGUCUCUGGCCCGUAAGUGAGUUAAAAGUGUUUUAAUGGAGCAUCGUGGUUUGUUUUCAAGGAGCUGUAUGUCUUUUAAAUAAAAAAUAAAUUGUUUGUGAGAGCCUAGCUCUUGUGUCUUUUGUGUAAGAGAGACCCAUUGACAGCAAAAAGCUGAAUUGUAUGUUGUGGGAGGGAAAAAAUAUCCUAAAAAUGUGUUUACAAUAAAACAAACAGGGAUGGUUCAGACAUGUGGUUGAGUACAAUAGAGCUGACUUAUUCUGUUGAACUGAAUGGGUUUAACCACACCCCCCCCCACUGAAUAGCCAGGGUGACUGUGAUUACUCACCCUUGUUGCCAUAGGGUUAAAUUUGAUGGGGGUGCACCCAUAGUAAGGGAGCUGGGUGGGUGAGUAUGGUGAGUUCUGAUUAAUAUGAAAUGAAAUAAAAACUCAGGAGUUUACAGAUGCUAUUGGACAGUUUAAAUAUAACCACUAGAGUUGGCAGAACUCUAUUGGACAGUUUAAAUAUGACGCCAGGAGUUGGUUGAAGGCUAUGGGUCACUUUUUCUAGAAAUCACCCCCACCCCAAACUUUAAGCAUGAAAGAAACAUGUUUUAAAAAAAACACAAAAAGCAAGCCCCAAGAUAUUCAUUGAUAUCUGCAAAGGACCCCCACUUCCAAUGGGUACUGUAAGAAGGCCCUACAGAAAAAUGUAUUUGAAAUAAAAGUGAAAAAAAAGAAGCCCAGCUGUGCAGACCCCAGAUCACAAAAGGGAAUGCUAGGGAGGGGUGAUCCAAUCAACCUGCUAACUAUUUUGAAACAAAGAGUUAGGAUGGUAUAAAAACCUCAGGUAGCUUGGAGACCUCUCUUUCAAGAGAAACUCUCUUGGAUGGCUGCUGGACUGCAGGAGGAGGUAUGCUCCCUGUUUUUAACUCUGAAAAUAUAUAUUAUAUAAUGCCAUUCUUUGGCCAUGCUGUCCGAGUAAAUAAUGAUGCCUAUCUUUAUUGCAGUGUGAUCUGUUUAGCAUGGAACCAGUAACUUUAAGCUGCAUUUCACCACCAGGAAGAGGUAAAAAACAUUUUAAAUGUAGUUGUGCUUAAUACUGUUAAAUUUUAAAAAAACAAACC